AACAUUAAAGUAAAAUUUACAUUUAGUUUCGACCUAAAUUUAAGGUAUAUACCUUAUGUUU
rnacentral:tRNA from 1 species